rnacentral:rRNA from 1 species
UGAGGAAUAUUGGUCAAGGGUCGAGAGCCUGAACCAGCCAAGUAGCGUGCAGGAUGACGGCCCUAUGGGUUGUAAACUGCUUUUAUGUGGGGAUAAAGUGCGUGACGUGUCAUGCAUUGCAGGUACCACAUGAAUAAGGACCGGCUAAUUCCGUGCCAGCAGCCGCGGUAAUACGGAAGGUCCGGGCGUUAUCCGGAUUUAUUGGGUUUAAAGGGAGCGUAGGCUGUCUAUUAAGCGUGUUGUGAAAUUUACCGGCUCAACCGGUGGCUUGCAGCGCGAACUGGUCGACUUGAGUAUGCAGGAAGUAGGCGGAAUUCAUGGUGUAGCGGUGAAAUGCUUAGAUAUCAUGACGAACUCCGAUUGCGCAGGCAGCUUACUGUAGCAUAACUGACGCUGAUGCUCGAAAGUGCGGGUAUCAAACAGG